rnacentral:rRNA from 1 species
UCGCUAGUAAUCGCGAAUCAGAAUGUCGCGGUGAAUACGUUCCCGGGUCUUGUACACACCGCCCGUCACACCAUGGGAGUCGGAUAUGCCCGAAGCCGGUGACCUAACCGCAAGGAAGGAGCCGUCGAAGGUGGAGCCGAUGACUGGGGUGAAGUCGUAACAAGGUAAC